rnacentral:rRNA from 1 species
GAGCGGCGAACGGGUGCGUAACACGUGUGCAACUUACCUUUAUCAGGGGGAUAGCCUUUAGAAAUGGAGAUUAAUACCCCAUAAUAUAGAGUAUGGCAUCAUACUUUAUUGAAAAUUUCGAUGGAUAGAGAUAGGCACGCGCAAGAUUAGCUAGUUGGUACGGUAACGGCGUACCAAGGCGAUGAUCUUUAGGGGUCCUGAGAGGGAGAUCCCCCACACUGGUACUGAGACACGGACCAGACUCCUACGGGAGGCAGCAGUGAGGAAUAUUGGACAAUGGGUGAGAGCCUGAUCCAGCCAUCCCGCGUGAAGGAUUAAGGACCUAUGGUUCGUAAACUUCUUUUAUAUAGGAAUAAACCUACCCUCGUGAGGGUAGCUGAAGGUACUAUAUGAAUAAGCACCGGCUAACUCCGUGCCAGCAGCCGCGGUAAUACGGAGGGUGCGAGCGUUAUCCGGAUUUAUUGGGUUUAAAGGGUCCGUAGGCGGGCUAAUAAGUCAGUAGUGAAAUCUUGUCGCUUAACGAUAAAACUGCUAUUGAUACUGUUAGUCUUGAGUGUAUUUGAAGUAGCUGGAAUGAGUAGUGUAGCGGUGAAAUGCAUAGAUAUUACUCAGAACACCGAUUGCGAAGGCAGGUUACUAAGAUACAACUGACGCUGAGGGACGAAAGCGUGGGGAGCGAACAGGAUUAGAUACCCUGGUAGUCCACGCUGUAAACGAUGCUUACUCGUUUUCGGGGAAUUAUUUUCGGAGACUAAGAGAAAUUGAUAAGUAAGCCACCUGGGGAGUACGAUCGCAAGAUUGAAACUCAAAGGAAUUGACGGGGGCCCGCACAAGCGGUGGAUUAUGUGGUUUAAUUCGAUGAUACGCGAGGAACCUUACCAAGACUUAAAUGUAUGUUGACAGGGCAAGAGAUUGCUUUUUCUUCGGACAAUAUACAAGGUGCUGCAUGGUGUCGUCAGCUCGUGCCGUGAGGUGUUAGGUUAAGUCCUGCAACGAGCGCAACCCCUAUCACUAGUUGCUACCAUUAAGUUGAGGACUCUAGUGAGACUGCCUACGCAAGUAGUGAGGAAGGUGGGGAUGACGUCAAAUCAUCACGGCCCUUACGUCUUGGGCUACACACGUAAUACAAUGGUAGGUACAGAGGGCAGCUACACUGUGAAGUGAUGCGAAUCUCGAAAGCCUAUCUCAGUUCGGAUUGGAGUCUGCAACUCGACUCUAUGAAGCUGGAAUCGCUAGUAAUCGCGCAUCAGCCAUGGCGCGGUGAAUACGUUCCCGGGCCUUGUACACACCGCCCGUCAAGCCAUGGAAGUCUGGGGUACCUGAAGUCGGUGAC